CUCGUUGAAGAUGUAGCCUCCGUGGCAAAGUGAGUUUGACAGCCCUGAUAUAGACGAUAAAUAAAAUAUGGUAAGCAGUGUUGUGCUUAAUGUAGGUGUUUAUCUCUUAGUUGUUACUCUUGUGAAUGGUUAAACAAGCCGUAGCCAGGUCUAGGAGGUCUUGGUACAGAAGAUAGAAGAGAUACUCAGAAGGUAGAAGAGAUACUCAGAAGGUAGAAGAGGUACUCAGAAAGUAGAAGAGAUACUCAGAAAGUAGAAGAGAUACUCAGAAAGUAGAAGAGAUACUCAGAAAGUAGAAGAGAUACUCAGUCAGAGGUGUAGAUGACUAGACAGAACAGGCCCGAUGCUCCAGUAUCACAGGCCAUUGAUCAAAAGGAAUGUCGGCACACAGCAUAUUGUUUUAUCUAUCAGGUUAAGGGGGAGGGGCUCAACUCCAAGGAAUGGGAAUAACUAACAUGACAUCAGUCCCACAGGGUCAUUCUUGAGCUGCGGUAAUAUAUAUAUUUUUAAAUUAAACUUUUUUUUUUUUUACUAGAAUAAAUGCAUUUUCUGAAUCCCCACAAAAUGAAGAACAUAUUAAACCUCCAAGAAAGCAUUUACCUUCAACCCCGUCACAGACAACAUGGAAGUUGUCUGAAUAUGAUUCUAAAAGAUACUUGUUAUAAAAUCAACAUCUACCUAAUGCCCAAAUAAAUACAAUUAUUAGAAAUAUAAAAUCUCAGAAAUGUUUGCUUUUAUUAAAACCCUG
ensembl:lncRNA